CUGGCAGCGCCGCUCCGCACAGACCGUGCCAGUAAACUACAACUCCCAGCGGGCAUAAGGCAUCACUUUUCGAGCAAAGCCGUAUUGGAGAUGUAGUUUCCCCAUUUUUGCCCAUGCAAUAGUGGGAUUAUCACUAGAGGGAAGUCGGACUACAACAUCCAGAGUUCCCUGCAACAGGGAUGAGGGCUCCCUGAGACAGCGCGCAGGCGUACUCGGGGUGGCCUACCUGCAGGCGGUGGUUCUGUUGCCCAUCGCCCUUUCAUCAUUUUUACUUUUGAGAGACCGAGGCUUUGGGAAAAGGGACAAGGCCCGCGAAGGGCUAGCGAGCAAUCAGCGGGAAAUACACCAGAGACACUUCAGCAUGGAACUUGCACGAUUAGGCGAAGGAGGUUGGUUGUGAGUGAGAUGCUGGGCUGAGGGGCAGGGUCGGUCGUUGGAGGAUGAGAUGAGCUCGGCGCUGGCUGCUGGACCAGGCACGGGACCUAGGUCAGCCGCCAUUUUCUCCUAGUGGGGCAGGCCCAGCAACCAGAGUGAAGCCUCUGAGUGGUGGUCAGGUAUGCUUCAGUCAUGUGAAGGAACGCACUACCUGUCGUUGAAUUUAAUCUGCACCUAACGUAGAAGGCAGGUACUGAUUCCUAUACGAUACAUUGAGAGAUUCAAGAGGAUACAGCAUCAGAAGGAGACCAUUCGGCCCACUCCGCCCAUACUACCUGUUUGGAAGAAUUGUCAUGAAUAGAAAAUGCCCCCAGGCCUGUUUUUAUGCUUGUCUACUAAAUGGCAUGCUUCUCCUUACUAUGGAUUUAGUAAAGUCACGAUCGUCCCAGUGAACCAUAGGACUGCUUUCUUAUUAGAGAGACGACUGGUGGUGUUUAACCUGAGAGUCGUCACAUCCUCUGGCAAAGACGUGAGAUUGCAAAGCUUGGAACUUCGUGGUCACCUCAGCUGGAGCAGGAAUGAACCUGUGCUGUUGGCAUCACUCUGCAAAGCAAACUAGCUGUUCAGCUAUGCUCCAGAAAUGGAACGUGUGUAAGAGAUAGUAGGAACUGGGUCUAGGCCCGAAACGUCAGCUUUCCUGCUCCUCUGCUGCUCGGCCUGCUGUGUUCAUCCAGCUCUACACCUUGUUAUCUAUGUAACGUGUGUGAUGCAGGUUGACCCUCCCAAUGUAUUUUGAGGGAUUGCAGCUUUGUCGGAGGUACUGCAUUUCAGGUGAAAUUUCAAAAAGUCUGGUUACCAAAGAGACACAUACAUGAUUUUUUUUUUUUUAAAAAAAGAAAAAUUCAAACUUCCAGUUAGCUGAACUAAUUUAUGAUUUAAUAUAUUUAAGAUGUAAGAUUUAAAGACAUUUACUGUAACAUACAGGCUAAAAAGGACCUGAUGAAACUUAAAUUUUGUAGGCAACUUGUACUUAACUUUAAACACAACAGAAAGAAAAAACACUUGUAUUUUUUUACUUUCCUUUUAAAGAGAUGUUUAAUUCUCCCAGAAUCAGUCCAAAAUGAAUCUUGGUCCCAAAUGUUUACUUCUGAUGUUUGUUUUACUUCUCUGCCUGGAAACUUUCAACUUUAAUGCACACUAUCAUAAUGCAAAUCUUUCUGGAGACUUCUCCCUCUAGCUGAAGCUAGGCAAAUCUUUCAGUCUUGUUUCAAUUCUCCAAAAACUUGCUGUUUACAACUUUGAGAUUGCAAUCCGGCACAGUCAACCAUAGGGAUGAAAGCCUAUAAACCUGUUAUCAUAGUGACUGUCUUUCUAUUUUUCUACUGUUCCAUCACCAUGAAAUGGGCUUUGUAACCAGAUAGAGAGUGUUGGAGUCUAUCUUCAAAGCAAAUAGACAAUUUAAAGCACAUCUCUUUACAACCUGAUGUUUUCAACACUUUUCUGGAAUACUGGGGACUGUAAGCAUGUGGUCUGCAUCCAUAAUUUCCAAGCAUAAUCACCUCACACCACCUUCCCAAUAAAAUAUGGGUGCCCUUUAGUUUCUAAUACACAAACCACCCAAACUUGAUAUCCAGUAGAUUUUAGAGCAGGUUACAUGAACUCCAUUCAUUUUAGGAGUAUCUUAAGCUGUGCAAUAUUAUAGUGAAUUAUUGAUUGUUGCAUGACUGCUUGAAGCACUAAGUUAUAGGUUACAAAAGACUUGUAGUUUAACUAAUAUGAUCUAAUGUUCUAAGUACAAAUUUUAUGGUGCUUUGUCUUGGUAUAGUGAUUAAGGCCCAGUGUCAAGUCUGAAUGUACAUUGUUUUCUCAUUGGUUUCCAGUAAGUUAAUCAGGUGUGCCAUGUAAACAUUUGUGGCCACAAAACAAGCCAGGGGCUUAAAAUUCUGCAGUGAUUUAAAAUAUCUUCUGACUUCCCAGAACUUGUCCACUGUCUACAAGUUGUAAGACAGGAAGGUGAUGGAGCAAUUUACACUUGCCUGCUUGAGUGUUGUUCCAAUAGUACUCUAGUUCAGCACUCUUCAGGACAAAGCAGUUUGCUUGUCCGGCACCUAGUCCAUCAACAUAAACACUCUGGGUUAAUGUUCUGGGGACGUGGAUUUUCAAGUUUUAGCAUGGUAGAUGGUCAAAAUUUGAAUUCAAUAAAAAUAUGAAUUUUUAAAAGCUA